rnacentral:lncRNA from 1 species
CUUAAAUUUGACAGCAAUACACCAAACUUCAUAACAACCUGGGAUCCAGUAACAAUAAUACAUCACCUAGAUAGCUGUAUAGUUUAAAGAACAUCCAAGUUGAUUUGAAAAAGUUAUUAAAAAAAUCAAAGUGUACUAUCUCUAUUUUGAUCAAACUGCAAAUUCUUGCUUUUUUUUUACCUAGAUUAAACUAAUUCUUAAAUUUGAC